rnacentral:rRNA from 1 species
UGGUGCGACCAUACCAGCACUAACGCACCGGAUCCCAUCAGAACUCCAAAUUUAAGUGUGCUUUGGCGAGAGUAGAACUAGGAUGGGUGACCCCCUGGGAAGUCCUCGUGGUCCAACCC